AUAAGUAGUUGUUUUAUCAGAAUUUUUUUUUAUUCAAUUUUGAAAAAGAAAUUUAAAAAUAUAAUGCCUUGUCGCUGUGACUCCAAUCCUUGCAGUACAUGCAUAUGUGCCAAAUCUAAUGAAGCAUGUACAUCUGAGUGUCAUGGAAAAAAAGAUUGGGCUAAUGUUCCUUGUUUAAAUACAGAGGUUGGGAAAAAAGUUAAAAGUAUGUCAAUCAAAGACAUAAGAUUAGCUCUUUGUGCUAACCAAUUAUCUCCUGUUGGCGAUAAAAGUGAACUUCUCAAACGCUUAGCAGUUUUUUUUCAAAACCAGAAAAGUGUUAAUGUAAAUAAUCCUGAAAGUUCUAAAUCGGAAACCAAGCCCUCGAGUAAUCACCAAGCAAGUAAAAACCAGUUGUUUGAAAUAAUUCUUGAAAGUGAAGGGAAUCACGAACUCAUUUUAUCGUUAAGUGGGCAAACUGUGACCAAAAACUCAAGUAAAUCUGAUCUUAGGCGUGCUUAUCUUCUUUUAAGUUCGAAAGUGCAUCCAGAUAAAAAUAGUAAUGCAAAAGAAUCAGUACAAGCAUUUCAAAUUCUAUUAAAUGCAUUUGAAAGACUUUCAAAUCCUGACAAAUUUGAGCUUGAAAGUGAUGAAGAAAAGCCUGCUAAAAAAAGGCAAAAAACUGAACAGUAUAUGCGAUCAAAUGAUGGAUGUUUUAAAACAAAAAUUAAGUGCCCUCAAUGUAUGCAAACAUGGGGUGGUAAUGAAUUGGGUUUGGAAGAUGGUGCUUAUAAUUUUUUUAUGAUGGCUAUUAAACAAUAUAUAUGUGGAAGAUGCUCAUGUGAAUUUGGAUGUAUGACAGCUGUUCAUUAUUGCCCGCAUUGCAAUAAGACAUUUGAUUAUGACCCAGAUGACUAUCAUCGCCAAAUAAUUUGUGGAAAUGGAAAUUGUUCUAAAAAGUUUGGUUUUAUGAUGUUUAAAGUUUCAGCCAGGCGAGAAAAUGAAGUACGAGCUGAAGCUAAGCUAAAGCAUGAGCAGUAUUUAAAACGUAUAUCUCAAAAAAAUCGUCGUGCUGCAAGAUCUGAUAAGCGUUCUGUUAAAAUUUAUGGCACUGUUGAUGAGAAUUUACAAGAAAAACUUUUUAUUAUUGGAUUGCGGGAUACAUGUCCCCGCUGUGGAUGGGAAAUAGAUAGAAGCGACGAAUUAGAAGAAGCCAAAGUUCAUUUAGAUAACUGUAAUAAUGAGAGUGUUAUUGAAGCAUAUAAAAAGAAGUUACAGGAAGAAGAAGCACAAAGUAAAAUAAAACUACAAAAAGAAAUGAGCCAAGCAGAAAUUAUGGGAAUAAAGCAGUGGGAGCAUAAUGGCAGACAGGUGGGACAAUUGUGGAUGCUAAGUGAUGCUAUGCUUAAAAAACUUUGCGCAGAUUUAAAACUUGAAGUGACAGGUCUUCGACAUGAAAUCAUUUCAAAAUUGUCAAAUUAUCUUAGGUCUAACCAGAGAUUAAUGUUAACAGAUGGUAAAAACAAAAGAAGCAUUGAAGCUAAUUUUGACACCACAUCUCUUGCUAAAGUAGACAUAGACGAUCUUCCUAAAAACAUUAACCAAAUGGAGCGAGAGGAGUUGCAAGACCUCUGUGCUAGCUAUGGUGUAAAGUUUGACGCUAAGAAAGAUGUCAAAUCUAUUUUAAUAAAAAAGUUUGAGUCAGCAAGAAUGUCAGGACAAAAUAAACUCAUGAUCUGUGACAAGCAUAAAGAUUCUGACGAAUCUCUUGAUGAAUCAAGUGACACAGAUUACAAUAUUUCUUUUGAUUUAAAAAAAUGAAAUUUGUUUAUGUUUUAAUUUAUGAUUUGGCUUUUAUGAAAGAAACUGUUGCUUAUUAAAUAGAUUUUUUUGUUUUUAUUCUAAAUUUUUUUUUAUUUGUAAAGAUUUUCAUUUAUAUUAAUACUAUGAUUAUAUCAUAAUAGCAAAAGGUAUUACUAAAUUAAAGUUGCAAUAAGAUUUGUUUAAAAAUUGUUUGCAUUGGACUCAAUUUUGAGUAGGACAUAAAUGCCAAGCAAACCAAAGGAUAGUGAGUUAGGGUGUGUUCACUUUGAUGGAACACUUGUUCAUCUGAUUCUAAAUGAAGUAAAGAAUAAUGUUCUUCCUGAUGAAGAAAUACAAGUUCCUGAAUGGGAAUUGCCGCCCGCCGAUCAAGAUGGAGACCAUGUGGGUGAUUCAAUUAGAGAAAGAGAAGAUAAAUGGACUGAAUUGAGAACGGCUUCGGAAAUGAGACCUGGUUUUCUUCCAGCUUCACUUGUGCGUUAACAAAUAUGAUUUUUAAA